rnacentral:rRNA from 1 species
GACGAACGCUGGCGGCGUGCUUAACACAUGCAAGUCGAACGGAAAGGCCCUGCUUUUGUGGGGUGCUCGAGUGGCGAACGAGUGAGUAACACGUGAGUAACCUGCCCUUGACUUUGGGAUAACUUCAGGAAACUGGGGCUAAUACCGGAUAGGAGCUCCUGCUGCAUGGUGGGGGUUGGAAAGUUUCGGCGGUUGGGGAUGGACUCGCGGCUUAUCAGCUUGUUGGUGGGGUAGUGGCUUACCAAGGCUUUGACGGGUAGCCGGCCUGAGAGGGUGACCGGCCACAUUGGGACUGAGAUACGGCCCAGACUCCUACGGGAGGCAGCAGUGGGGAAUAUUGCACAAUGGGCGGAAGCCUGAUGCAGCAACGCCGCGUGCGGGAUGACGGCCUUCGGGUGGUAAACCGCUUUCGCCUGUGACGAAGCGUGAGUGAAGGUAAUGGGUAAAGAAGCACCGGCUAACUACGU